AUUGAACGCUGGCGGCAGGCUUAACACAUGCAAGUCGAGCGAGCGGCGGACGGGUGAGUAAUGUCUGGGAAACUGCCUGAUGGAGGGGGAUAACUACUGGAAACGGUAGCUAAUACCGCAUACCAUCAGAUGUGCCCAGAUGGGAUUAGGUAGUGGGUGGGGUAAUGGCUCACCUAGGCGACGAUCCCUAGCUGGUCUGAGAGGAUGACCCGCCACACUGGGACGUGGACACGGUCCAGACCUCCACGGGGGGGAGCAGUGGGGAAAAUUGGACAAUGGGCGAAAGCCCGAUGGAGCCAUGCCGGGUGUGUGAAGAAGGCCUUCGGGUUGUAAAGCACUUUCAGCGAGGAAGCGUUACUCGCAGAAGAAGCACCGGCUAACUCCGUGCCAGCAGCCGCGGUAAUUC
rnacentral:rRNA from 1 species